CGGCGAGUGAAGCGGGAAGAGCUCAAAUUUAAAAUCUGGCGGCCUAAGGUCGUCCGAAUUGUAGUCUAGAGAAGUGUUUUCCGCGCCGGACUUUGUACAAGUCCCUUGGAACAGGGCGUCAUAGAGGGUGAGAAUCCCGUACUUGACGAAGAUCCCCGGUGCUAUGUGAUACACUUUCUAAGAGUCGAGUUGUUUGGGAAUGCAGCUCAAAACGGGUGGUAAAUUCCAUCUAAAGCUAAAUAUUGGUGGGAGACCGAUAGCGAACAAGUACCGUGAGGGAAAGAUGAAAAGCACUUUGGAAAGAGAGUUAAACAGUACGUGAAAUUGUUAAAAGGGAAACGAUUGAAGUCAGUCAUGUUCGGAGAGACUCAGCUUUACUUUUGUUUAGUGCACUUCUCUUCGAACGGGCCAACAUCAAUUUUGAUCGACGGAAAAGGGUGUCAGGAACGUGGCUCUYUCGGGAGUGUUAUAGCCUUUCAUCGUAUACGUCGGUUGGGAUUGAGGAACGCAGCGUGCCUUUUGGCGGAUCUUCGGAUACCCACACGCUUAGGAUGUUGGCAUAAUGGCUUUAAACGACCCGUCUUGAAACACGGACCAAGGAGUCUAACAUAUCUGCGAGUAUUUGGGUGGUAAACCCGGAUGCACAAUGAAAGUAAAUGCAGGUGCGAUCCGCAAGGAGCAGCAUCGACCGAUCUGGAUUUUUAAUGAUGGAUUUGAGUAAGAGCAUAUAUGUUGGGACCCGAAAGAUGGUGAACUAUGCCUGAAUAGGGCGAAGCCAGAGGAAACUCUGGUGGAGGCUCGUAGCGAUUCUGACGUGCAAAUCGAUCGUCAAA
rnacentral:rRNA from 1 species